rnacentral:misc_RNA from 1 species
AAGUCGUAACAAGGUUUCCGUAGGUGAACCUGCGGAAGGAUCAUUAGAGAAUUUAACUUGACCUCGGUCUCGUUAUUAUCUCCGCCGGGUAGUCUCUACUCGAGGGUUUCAAACCCGGAAAUAUACUCAAUGUGUUUAUUUGUUAAACGAAAGAAUUAAUACAACUUUCGGCAAUGGAUCUCUUGGUUCUC